UACGUAGGGUGCGAGCGUUGUCCGGAAUUAUUGGGCGUAAAGAGCUUGUAGGCGGUUUGUCGCGUCUGCUGUGAAAAUCCGGGGCUCAACCCUGGACUUGCAGUGGGUACGGGCAGGCUAGAGUGUGGUAGGGGAGACUGGAAUUCCUGGUGUAGCGGUGGAAUGCGCAGAUAUCAGGAGGAACACCGAUGGCGAAGGCAGGUCUCUGGGCCGCUACUGACGCUGAGAAGCGAAAGCGUGGGGAGCGAACAGG
rnacentral:rRNA from 1 species